rnacentral:rRNA from 1 species
CCAGUUCGGACUGCAGGCUGCAACUCGCCUGCACGAAGUUGGAAUUGCUAGUAAUCGCGGAUCAGCAUGCCGCGGUGAAUACGUUCCCGGGUCUUGUACACACCGCCCGUCACACCAUGGGAGUCGGAAAUGCCCGAAGUCUGUGACCUAACCGUAAGGAAGGAGCAGCCGAAGGCAGGUCGGAUGACUGGGGUGAAGUCGUAACAAGGUAAC